CAGCGCCGCGGUAAUACGGAGGAUCCGAGCGUUAUCCGGAAUUAUUGGGUUUAAAGGGUGCGUAGGCGGAUAGAUAAGUCAGUGGUGAAAGACGGUGGCUCAACCAUCGCAGUGCCGUUGAUACUGUUUAUCUUGAAUAUGGAUGAGGUAGGCGGAAUGUGGCAAGUAGCGGUGAAAUGCAUAGAUAUGCCACAGAACACCGAUUGCGAAGGCAGCUUACCAAGGCAAAAUUGACGCUGAGGCACGAAAGCGUGGGGAUCGAACAGGAUUAGAGACCCCAGUAGUCCCUGUCUCUUAUACC
rnacentral:rRNA from 1 species